rnacentral:rRNA from 1 species
AGUGAACGCUGGCGGUAGGCCUAACACAUGCAAGUCGAACGGCAGCACAGUAAGAGCUUGCUCUUACGGGUGGCGAGUGGCGGACGGGUGAGGAAUACAUCGGAAUCUACUUUUUCGUGGGGGAUAACGUAGGGAAACUUACGCUAAUACCGCAUACGACCUACGGGUGAAAGCAGGGGAUCUUCGGACCUUGCGCGAUUGAAUGAGCCGAUGUCGGAUUAGCUAGUUGGCGGGGUAAAGGCCCACCAAGGCGACGAUCCGUAGCUGGUCUGAGAGGAUGAUCAGCAACACUGGAACUGAGAAACGGUCCAGACUCCUACGGGAGGCAGCAGUGGGGAAUAUUGGACAAUGGGCGCAAGCCUGAUCCAGCCAUACCGCGUGGGUGAAGAAGGCCUUCGGGUUGUAAAGCCCUUUUGUUGGGAAAGAAAAGCAGCAGGUUAAUACCCCGCUGUUCUGACGGUACCCAAGAAUAAGCACCGGCUAACUUCGUG